rnacentral:rRNA from 1 species
CCUACGGGAGGCAGUAGUGGGGAAUAUUGGACAAUGGGGGAAACUCUGAUCCAGCGACGCUGCGUGCGUGAAGAAGUAUUUCGGUACGUAAAGCUCUAUCAGCAGGAAAGAAAAUGACGGUACCUGACUAAGAAGCCCCGGCUAACUACGUGCCAGCAGCCGCGGUAAUACGGAGGGGGCAAGCGUUAUCCGGAUUUACUGGGUGUAAAGGGAGCGUAGGCGGCAGCGCAAGUCUGAGGUGAAAUGCCGGGGCCCAACCCCGGAACUGCUCUGGAAACUGUGAAGCUGGAGUGCAGGCGAGGUAAGCGGAAUGCAUGGUGUAGCGGUGAAAUGCGUAGAGAUCAGGAGGAACACCGGCGGCGAAGGCGGCUUACUGGGCUGUAUCUGACGUUGAGGCUCGAAGGCGUGGGGAGCAAACAGGAUUAGAUACCCGGGUAGUC